UCCGGCUUUAGAACUCUGCGGUUUUGUGGAGCUCGAGAGUCCGGGACAAGGUAGACGCAGGAUAUUGACCUUUUUAUUUUUAACUGCAUUUUCAGUUUGGAGGUUGUAAAAUAGGUAUAACAUUUAAGAAAAAAAAUUGAAAGAUAUCUAUUGGAUGCUGAUGAUUAUGAAACAAAGUAGCAAAGAUAAGAAGCCAUUUGCUCAUUCUGCUCCUUUGCCAGCAAUAUUUCACAAAGCCCCUGACUCAUUGACUGUGAGCAGCCUUGUGGAAGAAUGCCUUGAAGACCAUAAGCAGGAUAGGGAAUAGGUUUGCACAUCUCUUGCCUGAAUCACUGAAUUUUUACAAAAGAAAAGGUUCAAUUAAGUGGUUGAAAAGCUUCAGGAAGAAAUUUAAGCUAAAUUGAAAUGAGGGAGUAACAUCAGCAAGAUAAUGAAAUGGAGGAUCCCCUACUAUCACUCCCUCCAUAAAAAUACAACUAGAAACUACUUAAAGACAAGAACACAACCCUGAGUUCACCACAAUUCAAGGGAGAAUUGAAGAAACCUCCGGGGCCCUCAGAAUUGAGAGAAGCUGUGACAGGUAUGAAAAAUGGCUGUUUCAGACAUUGCAGCCCCCUCCAUCAAGCUGGCAUAAUGUCGCUCAUAGAGAAUUUUCCUAGACUCAUGGUUUCUAAGGUAAGAAGAGGGAGUUGGAAGUGGACAUACGAUCUCCCCACCAGUCUGGGAAUCUUCUCAGGAAGCCCACUUCUGCCCCAUCCCAUGGGAACAAUUGGGAGUGUCAGAAGGGCUGACCAACCUUGGAUGAAAUGAGACAAAGAGUGGGACACUGAUCAUAGUGACUGGCACGUGGAUCUUGGCAGUUAACUCUUCACUCCAAUCAGUAUGGACACCACAUUGAAGAGACUGGCUGGCACCAUAGUGCUAUAGGGGACACAGUCUGUGAGAAGGCCUGAAUCCCUGGACAGAUUUCAACAAAGACUAGGUGUUCCCAUGGAGCCUCCACUGGACCAGAAACAACUAGAAACGUUGGGAUUGAGUUCCAGUGACUGCUUAAGUCUUCCACAAACUGGGAGACAGUGGCAGGGCAGCCACAUAGCUCCAGAGCAUUGUUAACUUAGUACUCACAAUAAGUUUUCCCCACACUGGGAAAUAGUGGCAGGGCAAAAGUUAGUUCCAGUGCAGUGAUUUAGUUCUGGUACUCACUAUAAAUUCUCCCAAAAAAAAAAAAAAAAAAAAGAAUAUCAGCAGUUAAGUUCUGAUACUAAGUAGUAAAGGUCAAACACCACCAAAGAAUACCUGCAAGUAAUGGAAGAGGUAGCUAUCUCCUAAAAUGUGCAGGUAUUAAGGCAAACCCACAAGAAUUGUAAAAACCCAGGGAAAUAUGACCUUACCAAAAGAAAUCAACAAAGCUCCAGCAAUGGAGCUAGAAGAAGUGAAGACCUAGGAAAUGUUAAACAGACAAUUCAAAAUAAUCCUCUUAAACAAAUUUAGAGAAUCAUAAGAAAAUAUGGAUAGAAAAAAAAUAAAAUUUGGAAAGUAACCCAGGAACAAAAUGAGAUAUUUGACAAAGAAAUAAAAGAAAUAAGAAAUAAAAACAAACAAAUCCAUUAUUUCUAGGGUUUCUAGAAAUAAAGAAACCGUAACUAAACUGACACAAUAACUAAACUGAAAAACUCAUUGGAAAGCUUCAACAUCAGACUUGAUUAGAGAAAAGAAUUAGCAAGUUUGAAGACAGCACAUAUGAAAUUACCUAAUCAGAGGAGAAAAAAAGAAAAAAGAAUUUAAAAGCAUAAAAAAGAACUUUUUAAGAAUUAUGGCACAUGAUCAAGCAAACUAACCUCUGCAUAGUAGGAAUUCCCAAAGGAGGCAAGAGAGAAAAAGGCCUAGAAGACAUAUUUAACAAAACAAUGGUGAAAAUUUCCCAAAGAUGGAGAAAGAGGACACCAUUCAGAUACAGGAAUCUUGGAGGUCAUCAAUCAAAUUAAACCCAAAGAGGAAAUCCCUAAGGCAUAUCACAAUCAAAUUAGCAAAAAUCAGAGACAACAAAAAUACUCAGUGCAGCAAAAGAAAAGAAAAAUAUUACAUUAAACAAAGCACCAAUACAGCUUUCACUGGAUUUCACAGCAGAAAUCCUACAGGCCAGGUGAGAAUGGGAAGCUUGAAAGUGCUGAAAGAAAAAAAAAAACUGUCAACCAAGAAUAAUGUGCCCAGCAAAGCUAUUAAAACAAGAAGAGAGAUAAAGACUUUCUCAGACAAACAAAAACUGAGGGAAUUUGUCAGCACCAGACCUGUGUUACAAGACAUGCUAAAGAGAGUUCUUCAAUCUGAAAGAAAUGGAUGCUAAUGUGUAACAAGAAACAAUCUGCAGGUAUGAAACUCAUUGGUAAAAGAAAGAAAACAGACCAAUUCAGAACACAUCAAUAGUGAAAUUAGGGUAAGUAAAUGACCUAUAUCUUAAAUAUGAAGAUUAAAAGACAAAACCACUAAAAACAAUAACUACAAUUUAUUAAGAGAUGCACAAUGUAAAAAAAGUAAAUUGAAACACAAAAAAGUCAAAAUGUGGUGAGAGGAUGUUAUUAAAGUGUAGAGUUUGUUGUUUCUUAUCUUUUCUUUGCAAUAAAAUAUAAGUCACUAUCAGUUUAAAAUAACUUAUUAUAAAUAUAAGAGGGUUUUUGUAAGCCUCACGUUAACCAUAAAGCAAAAACCUACAAUAGAUAUAUAAAAAUAAAUAGCAUGAAAUAAAAACGUACUACCAGAGGAAAUCACUUAACCACAAAGGAAGAGAGUGAGAGAGGAAAAGGGAAGAAUUCACAAAACAACAAGAAGUCAAGUAACAAAAUGGCAGUAGUAAACCCUUACUGUGAAUAAUAACUUUGAAUGUAAAUGGAUCAAAUUGUCCAACCAAAAGACAUAGAGUGGCUGAAUGGAUUUAAAAAACAAGAUCCAACUGUAUGCUAUCUACAAGUACUUCACUUAAUCUAUGAAGACAUUCACAGACUAAAAGUGAAGGAAUGAAAAAAGAUAUUUCAUGCAAAUAGAAACCAAAAAGGAACAGGGAUAGGUUUACUAAUAUCAGAUAAACUAGACUUGAAGCCAAGAGUCAUUUUUAAAAUGACAAAAAAGAAAGCCAUUAUAUAAUGAUAUAGGGGACAGUACAGCAAGAAUACAUAACAAUUGUAAAUAUAUAUGCACCCAAUACUGGAACACACAAAUAUGUAAAAAAGUUAAUAGACUUAAAGGGAGAGAUUGACUACAAUAAAUAGUACUAGGAGAUUUCAACACCCCAUUUUCAGUGAUGGCCAGAUCACUCAGACAGAAAAGUAACAAAGAAACAUUGGAGUUAAAAUGAACUCUAGACCAAAGGAACAUAACAGAUAUUUUAUGUUAUGUUAUAUUUUAUUUUAUUUUAUGUUACAGAUAUUACAGAACAUUCCAUCCAACAGCUGCAGAAUACACAUUUUUCUCAACAGCACAUAGAAGAUUAUCCAGGAUAGAUCAUAUGUUAGGUCCCAAAACAAGUCUUGACACAUUCUUUAAAAAUCCAAAUCAUAUCAAGUGCAUUUCUUACCACAAUUAUUCCAAUUAUUCUACCAUUCUGGAAUAAAACUAGAAACCAGUUUUAAAAAAAGGAACACUGGAAAUUGUACAAACUCAUGGAAAUGAAACAACAUACUCCUGAACACUGAAUGGGUCAACGAAGAAAUUAAAAAGGAAAUUUAAAAUUAUCUUCAGACAAAUGAAAAUGGAAACAUGACAUACUAAAGCCUAUGUAAUAUAUCAAAGCAGUUCUAAGAGCAGUUCUGUAGCAAUAAAUGCCUACAUCAAAAAAGUAGAAAGACUUCAAAUAAACAACCUAAAGAUCACCUCAAGGAACUAGACAAGCAAAAACAAACAACACUCAUAAUUCAGAUAAAGUAUCUAUCUGAACAAUACAAAAGAUUGAAGUAGCAAAAAUUGCAUUUUUGAAAUAAUAAAUGAAAUUAACAAAACUUUAGCUAGACCAAAGAAAAGAGAGAGG
rnacentral:lncRNA from 1 species